rnacentral:rRNA from 1 species
UACAGAGGGGGCAAGCGUUGUUCGGAAUUACUGGGCGUAAAGGGCGCGUAGGCGGCCCGCUAAGUCGAACGUGAAAUCCCCGGGCUCAACCCGGGAACUGCGUCCGAUACUGGUGGGCUCGAAUCCGGGAGAGGGAUGCGGAAUUCCAGGUGUAGCGGUGAAAUGCGUAGAGAUCGGAAGGAACGUCAAUGGCGAAGGCAGCCACCUGGCAUAAUACUGACGCUGAGGCGCGAAAGCGUGGGGAGCGAACAGG